rnacentral:lncRNA from 1 species
CACGCCCCGCCUCGCAGCUAGCAAGGGAAGGCUGCACAACACGGCCCGUGUUGAACAACACUUCCCGUGUUGACCAACACGCCCACGGACACGCCCGUGUUGGUUGAAUACAAAUGCGAAAGGCCUAGAAGCUUCGGGAAACACGGCCACAGUAGGUAACACGGCUAUUUACCCCAGACCGUGUUCCCAACACGGCCUUGAGCACGGCCAUGUUCCCAACCGUGUUCCCAACACGGCCAGGAACACGGCCAUGUUGGCGGACAGGGGCGAAAAUGCUAUAAAUACCCCUUCCUUGUACCAUUUGUAAAGUGUGUGUGAGUGUGUGAAAGAUAUGAAGGAAGAGAGUUUGUAGAGAGAGAAAGUGUGCUCAUUGUAAGUAUCUUUAGUGUGAAUUAAUCAAUACAAGUAUACACUUCCACAACUCUUGCGUCUCUUUGUGCCACUUUCGUGAAUUUACUGCCGCUAGCGUAUUUGCUCUCAUUCUGCCGGGUUUGGCAAUCAAGGGUAGGCUGACUAGCUAUCUUGAAUUUCGGAGAAAUCAAGCAAGCUAGGCCGCAUGUGGGCAAAGUUUUGGAGAUAAAACAAAACUCACGUGACAGUUGGUAUCAGAGCGGGUUCAAGACAAAGCCAAGUUCAUAAAUUCUUUGGGAGAAUUCUUGCACGAGAUAAUGGCCAAGGUUGGUGAGCAAUCUACUUCUACCGCUCCUCCUACUCCAAGGGAAGGAGGAAAGGAUAGCGGAAAGGGCCGGAGGGAUAAGUCCCGCGACGUGAUUGGCGCGAUGGAGGAAAGGCUAGUCAAGGUGGAGACUACCAUGUCCGAUUGGGGGGAUAAAAUCGAAGACAUGGACCUACGCAUCGAGAAGCUAGAGUCCAAGGGUGACGACGGAGAGCUUCGCGAGGAGAUGCAAGGUGCCUUGAAUGUUCUCGCCGACAAUUUAUCAAGGGACAAUGAGGCUCUCAAGAAGUUGCUUGUCCAAUGCCUAGAGAAGGUCGAUAAGCUCGAGGUGGAGCUUAAUUUGUGCAAGACCGCGUUGGCAAAGAGUGGGGGAGCGCAAGCAGUGACGGUCCACAAAGUCGAUGCUCCUAAACCGAAAGCCUACGGUGGGGCGAGGAAUGCGAGGGAGAUCGACAACUUCCUGUGGAACUUGGAGGGAUACUUUGAGGCAGUGGGCAUCGUGGACGACACCACUAAGGUAAAGUCCGUAUCUCUCUACUUGUGUGAUAUUGCUACCGUCUGGUGGAGACGGAGGUGCGAGGAUGUGAAAAAGGGCCUCUGCACCAUUAAUACUUGGGAAGAUUUUGUUCGGGAGCUUAAGAAGCAAUUCUAUCCCGACAAUGCCGAGAAGGAGGCGAGGUCAAAGCUUCGACGUCUCCAACAUAGAGAUGGUCAUAUUCGGGAAUAUGUGAAGGAGUUCUCCGAAUUGAUGUUGGAGAUUCCCGAUUUGGGGGAAAAGGAAGUUUUUCAUGCCUUCAUUGAUGGGUUAUCUCGGUGGGCUCAGUUGGAGCUAGAAAGGCGAGGUGUGCAGGACCUUGCCACCGCGAUGGCGGUUGCCGAGUCCUUGAUAGAGUUGAAGAGGAGGGACUCAUUUAAACCAAAGGUAAAGAAAUACGAAGGUAGUGACAAAGGUGGUGGAGAUAGGGGAAAAUCUUUCACCAAGGACGGCAAGGCUUCAUACAAAGAUAAGGGCAAGUGGAAGAAGGAAGACAGGCGUAGUUCUUCCCCGAGAAAGCUUGCCUGCUUCAUAUGCGAUGGACCUCAUCGGGCGUAUGAUUGUCCAAAGCGAGGAAAGCUUGGAGCGCUAGUAAUCACCGAAGAGGAAAGGCAAGAAGAGGAGCGAAGACUUGCUUCCCUUCGACUUCUCAAUGCUAUCCAAGCCAAAGUGGAGCAAAAGCCUCGUGGACGAAUGUACGUGGAGACCAAUAUCGGAGGCAGGAGUAUUCAAGCCAUGGUGGACACUGGAGCUGACACGGUAUACAUGGCGAAAGAGGUGGCUGACUCUAUUAAGCUGCCUUACAAGAAGGAAAAGGGCUUCAUUAAAGGGGUGAACGCAAAGAGAUUACCUAUCAUUGGCGUUGCGAGAGGAACUAACAUCCGAAUAGGCCAAUGGCAAGGUAAGGUCGAUAUCACAAUUGCUCCUAUUGAUGAUCAACGGUUCUAUCUUGGUAUGGACUUCCUCGACAUGGUGAAGGCAUUCUUGGUUCCUUAUGCCAACACCAUGUGCAUAAUGGAGAAUGGCCAACCUUGUGUUGUGCCGAUAAAAAGGGAGUUAAAUCAAGAUAAGAUGGUGUCGGCCAUACAGCUCUCAAAAGGGGUAAAAAGGAAGGAGCCAACCUUCCUAGCAACCCUUAAAGUGGAAGAAGGUACCCAUGUUGAUGAACCUACACUUCCAAGCCCUAUCCGAGGCGUGCUUGAUGAGUUUAAAGAUGUUAUGCCGCCAGAGCUGCCGAAGAAACUUCCUCCACGCCGAGAAGUGGACCACGAGAUUGAGCUAGAAUCGGGAGCCAAACCGCCCGCCUUUGCCCCCUACCGUAUGGCGCCUCCUGAGCUGAAGGAAUUAAGGAGGCAACUUAAGGAGCUGCUUGAUGCAGGCUAUAUAAGGCCGUCCAAAGCUCCGUAUGGUGCGCCGGUGUUGUUCCAGAAGAAGCAUGAUGGGUCUCUUCGGUUAUGCAUUGACUACCGAGCGCUGAACAAGAUUACAAUCAAGAAUAAGUACCCGAUUCCUAACAUUGCGGACAUCUUUGAUCAACUUGGUGGUGCUAAGUGGUUUACCAAGUUGGAUUUACGGUCCGGGUACUACCAGGUACGCAUCUCCGAAGGACAUGAGCCAAAGACGGCGUGCGUGACGAGAUAUGGGUCGUAUGAAUUUCUUGUCAUGCCCUUUGGCCUCACAAAUCCGCCGGCCACAUUCUGCACAUUGAUGAACAAGGUACUUGCUCCUUACCUUGAUCAAUUUGUUGUUGUUUAUCUAGAUGAUAUUGUGGUGUACAGCAACACGCUGGAGGAGCACGUAGAGCAUUUAAGGCUAGUGUUCAAAGCCUUGCGGGUUAACGAGCUCUACGUUAAAAGGGAGAAAUGCUUGUUUGCCCAACGAGAAGUGGCGUUCCUUGGGCAUGUCGUUGGCAAUGGGAAGUUGAGGAUGGACGGUUCAAAGGUGAAGGCCAUCCAGGAUUAGGAACCGCCGGCCAAGGUGACGGAGUUGAGGUCUUUCCUUGGAUUGGUGAACUACUACCGGAGGUUCAUUAAGGGUUAUUCUUCCAUUGCCACUCCCUUAACGGAUUUACUAAAGAAGGGUCGUGUCUGGGACUGGUCUAUGAAGUGCCGAGAAGCCUUCGAAGGGCUAAAGAAGGCGAUUAUGGAGGAGCCGGUCUUAGCACUCCCCGACUAUACAAAGGCGUUCGAGAUCCACACGGAUGCUUCUGAUUUUGCUAUUGGUGGAGUACUCAUGCAAGAAGGGCAUCCGAUAGCCUUUGAAAGCCGGAAAUUGAAUGACACCGAAAGGAGGUAUACGGUGCAAGAAAAAGAGAUGACCGCGAUAGUCCAUUGCUUGCGGACUUGGAGGCACUACUUGCUCGGGAGCAAGUUUGUUGUCAAAACCGAUAAUGUCGCCACUAGCUACUUUCAGACACAAAAGAAGCUCACACCUAAGCAAGCUAGGUGGCAAGACUUCCUUGCGGAAUUUGACUAUGUCAUGGAGUACAAGCCAGGAAGAGCAAACCUUGUUGCCGAUGCCCUAAGCAGGAAAGGGGAGCUAGCAGAUAUAAGCCGUCCUGCAUGCAACUUGGCGGAGCGCAUCAAGGAGGGGUUAAAGCAUGAUCCAAUGGCCAAGAACUUCUUUGCUCUUAUUCGAGAAGGUAAGACUCGAAGGUUUUGGUUGGAAGGAGACUUGCUUUACACAAAAAGGAGGAGAUUAUAUGUGCCGCUCCAUGAUAAUCUAAGGAAGAAAAUCCUUAAAGAGUGCCACGACAGCAAGUGGGCAGGUCAUCCCGGCAUUCAACGAACAAUGGCGCUUGUGGAGAAUGCCUACUAUUGGCCUCGCAUGAGGGAGGAUGUGGAGGCCUAUGUGAGGACUUGUCUUGUGUGCCAACAGGACAAGAUGGAGCAACAAGCCCCGGGUGGUCUACUAGAGCCACUUUCUAUUCCUGAGAGACCAUGGGAGAGUGUCUCCAUGGAUUUUAUUGUGGGGCUUCCUUUGUCAGAAGGAUGUGCAUGGAUCUUCGUGGUGGUGGAUCGGUUCUCUAAAUACGGCAUCUUCAUUCCAGCUCCAAAGGCCGUCACCGCCGAAGAAGCUGCCCGCCUGUUUAUGAAACAUGUGGUAAAUAUUGGGGUGUGCCAAAAUCCAUAGUGAGCGAUCGGGACACUCGCUUCACGGGUCGGUUUUGGACGGAGCUGUUCAAGCUGUUAGGCACCGACCUCAGGUUCUCUACGAGUAUGCACCCCCAGACGGAUGGGCAAACGGAGAGGAUCAAUGCACUUCUAGAACUUUAUUUGAGGCACUACGUGAGUGCCAAUCAACGAGAUUGGGCGAAGUUGCUUGAUGUUGCCCAAUUCUCUUAUAACUUGCAAAGGAGUGAGUCUACCGGCAAGAGUCCAUUUGAGAUAGUUACGGGCCAGCAACCCUACACGCCGAGCACUCUUGCCCUAGACUGGUCAAGCCGCAGUCCACCCGCCUUUAAGCUUGCGAAGGAAUGGAAGGAGCAAGCCGAUGUCGCACGAGCCUACUUGGAAAAGGCAUCUAAGCGGAUGAAGAAGUGGGCGGACAGGAAGAGGAGACCAAUGGAGUUUCAAGAAGGGGAUAAAGUGCUCGUCAAGCUAUACCUGCAUGGGAAAGCCGACGGACUUCAUUGGGGGCUCCGAAGAAGGUAUGAUGGGCCUUUCCCCAUUAUUAAACGAGUGGGAAAGGUGGCGUACAAGGUUGAACUUCCCCAAGGCAUCAAGAUUCAUCCUGUUUUCCACGUAAGCCUGUUGAAGCCCUACAAGGAGGAUCAUGAUGACCCAAGCCGAGGCAAGUCUACGAGAGCUCCUUUGAAUGUGCGGGCUCAGUAUGACAAAGAAGUGGACUACAUCAUCUCCCACCGUAAGGUGCCACAGUCCAAUCAACCUCCUAUGACGGAGUUUCUAGUCAAGUGGAAGGGACUCCCCGAGAGUGAGGCAAGCUGGGAGCCAAUUCGCGACUUGUGGCAAUUUGAGGAGAAAAUUAAAGCUUACGAGGAGCAGGCAACGGGGGCGUUGCCAGAUUGAGUGGGGGAGAAUGUCACGCCCCGCCUCGCAGCUAGCAAGGGAAGGCUGCACAACACGGCCCAUGUUGAACAACACUUCCCGUGUUGACCAACACGCCCACGGACACGCCCGUGUUGGUUGAAUACAAAUACGAAAGGCCUAGAAGCUUCGGGAAAUACGGCCACAGUAGGUAACACGGCUAUUUACCCCAGACUGUGUUCCCAACACGGCCUUGAGCACGGCCAUGUUCCCAACCGUGUUCCCAACACGGCCAGGAACACGGCCAUGUUGGCGGACAGGGGCGAAAAUGCUAUAAAUACCCCUUCCUUGUACCAUUUGUAAAGUGUGUGUGAGUGUGUGAAAGAUAUGAAGGAAGAGAGCUUGUAGAGAGAGAAAGUGUGCUCAUUGUAAGUAGCUUUAGUGUGAAUUAAUCAAUACAAGUAUACACUUCCACAACUCUUGCGUCUCUUUGUGCCACUUUCGUGAAUUUACUGCCGCUAGCGUAUUUGCUCUCAUUCUGCCGGGUUUGGCAAUCAAGGGUAGGCUGACUAGCUAUCUUGAAUUUCGGGGAAAUCAAGCAAGCUAGGCCGCACGUGGGCAAAGUUUUGGAGAUAAAACAAAACUCACGUGACACAU